GACGAACGCUGGCGGCGUGCUUAACACAUGCAAGUCGAACGAAGUGGCGAACGGGUGAGUAACGCGUAAUCAACCUGCCCUUCAGAGGGGGACAACAGUUGGAAACGACUGCUAAUACCGCAUACUGAAGGAGGGGAUUGCGUCUGAUUAGCUAGUUGGAGGGGUAACGGCCCACCAAGGCGAUGUUCAGGAGCCGGUCUGAGAGGAGGAACGGCCACAUGGGGACUGAGAACCGGCCCAGCUUGCUACGGGAGGCAGCAGGGGGGAUUCUGCCGCAAUGGACGAAAGUCUGACGGAGCAACGCCGCGGGAGUAAUGACGGCCUUGGGGUUGGAAAGCUCUGUUAAUCGGGACGCGGUACCGGAAUAGAAAGCCACGGCUAACUACGUGCCAGCAGCCGCGGUAAUAC
rnacentral:rRNA from 1 species